rnacentral:sRNA from 1 species
UUAUAGCCCCGAUUGAAGCGGCAUCCUUUUUUUUAUUUUCUCAAAAAAAGAUAUAGCGAAAAGCGGGUUUAAGC